rnacentral:pre_miRNA from 1 species
UUAUGAUAAUGAUGCUGAUGAUGGUAUUGAUGAUGAUGAUGACGAUCACUACCAUCACCCUAAACAUCGUUAUCAUCAUCAUCAUCGUCAUCAUCAUCAUUAAUA